UAGUCUCGCACAGAUGCAUAUCAAUAAGCGGAGGAAAAGAAACUAACAAGGAUUCCCCUAGUAACGGCGAGUGAAGCGGGAAGAGCUCAAAUUUGAAAUCUUAAAGGGUUUCCCUUUACGAAUUGUAGUUUAAAGAAGUGUUUUCUGUUGAGGUUUUGGUAAAAGUUCUUUGGAAUAGGACAUCAUAGAGGGUGAGAAUCCCGUAUUUGACCUUUACUUUCAACUUUGUGAUACACUUUCAAAGAGUCGGAUUGUUUGGGAAUGCAGUCCAAAAUGGGUGGUAAAUUUCAUCUAAAGCUAAAUAUUGGCGAGAGACCGAUAGCGAACAAGUACCGUGAGGGAAAGAUGAAAAGAACUUUGAAAAGAGAGUUAAACAGUACGUGAAAUUGUCAAAAGGGAAGCGUUUGACACCAGUGUUGUUUUUCUGAGAAUCAAUUAAAGAACUGUUUAUGCUAAGCUGUUUAGACUUUAUCAGCUAUCUGUUUAGUUUUGAGCUUUUCUUUAAUGCACUUUUCAGUUAACAAGUCAACAUCAAUUUCUUUUGCUGUAAAAAAGCUUGAGGAAGGUGGCUUGAGAUUCGUCUUAAGUGUUUAUAGCCUCUUGCCUAUGCAGUCGGAGAGAUUGAGGUCUGCAGCGUAGAUCCUUCGGGGCUAAAUGCAUUUGUGCUAAGUUAUAGCAUUUUAUAGACAACUUGUUGACUAUGAUUUGUCUUGUAGCUUACUCGCUUAUGUUAUUUUACCUACGCUUAGGAUGUUGAUCUGUAGUGCGUGCGC
rnacentral:rRNA from 1 species